CUCUGAAGCCCCUUCUGUUAAAGCUGGAUCCUCUUCCCGUAAGAGGACCAGGACUGUAUGGAAUAAUUUUGAUAGAGUUUUAGUUGAUAGAGUCUAUAAGAAAAAAUAAAAAAAUAUACCAAAUUAUAUAGUCGUGCCAGUUCUGGAGGAACUGGCCAUUUGAAGAGACUUUAAGAGUCUUAUAGGAUAAGUGAUUUUCGUUUUCAAAGCACCCUUAAUACACAAGGGGGUGCCCUUGUAGAAACUUUUACUUACAAUCAUG
rnacentral:lncRNA from 1 species